AGUGAACGCUGGCGGUAGGCCUAACACAUGCAAGUCGAACGGCAGCACAGUAAGAGCUUGCUCUUACGGGUGGCGAGUGGCGGACGGGUGAGGAAUACAUCGGAAUCUACUUUUUCGUGGGGGAUAACGUAGGGAAACUUACGCUAAUACCGCAUACGACCUACGGGUGAAAGCAGGGGAUCUUCGGACCUUGCGCGAUUGAAUGAGCCGAUGUCGGAUUAGCUAGUUGGCGGGGUAAAGGCCCACCAAGGCGACGAUCCGUAGCUGGUCUGAGAGGAUGAUCAGCCACACUGGAACUGAGACACGGUCCAGACUCCUACGGGAGGCAGCAGUGGGGAAUAUUGGACAAGGGGCGCAAGCCUGAUCCAGCCAUACCGCGUGGGUGAAGAAGGCCUGCGGGUUGUAAAGCCCUUUUGUUGGGAAAGAAAAGCAGCAGGUUAAGACCCCGCUGUUCUGACGGUACCCAAAGAAUAAGCACCGGCUAACUUCGU
rnacentral:rRNA from 1 species